rnacentral:rRNA from 1 species
ACGGCCAUUCUACAUUGAAAACAUCAGUUUUCGUCCGAUCACCGAAGUUAAGCAAUGUCAGGCCAGGUCGGUACUUGGGAGGGUGACCACCUGGGAAUACCUGGUGUAUAUGUA